rnacentral:lncRNA from 1 species
CAAGACCAAUAUGGACCCAAGAGUAGGCCACAAAGGAAAUAGGCUCCUGUCUUACCAAAUGCCUGCUGAAACCAGAUUACUCCUUGUCUGUAAGAAUGGUUUCAGAACAGGAAGAAGAGAGGCACAAACAUCUUUUCACUACUGUAACUGCAUUGCUGUAGCUGCACAUCUCAGUUCUUCAGGGCAAGGCAGCAUCUGCACACUUAAAU